CCUGGAGCAAAAACGGCCAGGAUCCCACAAGAUCUCCCCGGAGCAAAAAUGGCCGGCGGGAUCAACAAGAUCUCCUCGGAACAAAAAUGACCUGGAGCCCUGAAACACAGCCCGUAUGAGGCUCGUCAAGAAAGCAAGAAAUUAAGCGCUGACUUCACAAAAAAGAAGGAGAAUUUUCGAACUCAUGAGCCCGUCACACAAACAACGCAAAAGCUGUAGCACAAAAAUCCAAGCAAAUAACAAAAACCCGAGCUCCUUAAUCCGCUGAACGGACGAACUCACGACAAAAGCAAAUGAUCCCACCCAC
rnacentral:lncRNA from 1 species